rnacentral:rRNA from 1 species
UACGUAGGUGGCGAGCGUUGUCCGGAUUUACUGGGCGUAAAGGGAGCGUAGGCGGACUUUUAAGUGAGAUGUGAAAUACUCGGGCUCAACUUGAGUGCCGCAUUUCAAACUGGAAGUCUAGAGUGCAGGAGAGGAGAAUGGAAUUCCUAGUGUAGCGGUGAAAUGCGUAGAGAUUAGGAAGAACACCAGUGGCGAAGGCGAUUCUCUGGACUGUGACUGACGCUGAGGCUCGAAAGCGUGGGGAGCAAACAGG